rnacentral:lncRNA from 1 species
UCCAAAACAGGGGAUACCCCCCUUCCCUCACUCUUCCCCAAACGCGGUUGCAAGCCCGACGUCCGGUGACCACCCCCAUACUGUCUAAUGGUGGAGACUCGACGAUGCAGCCUCGAACACCAUCCGACAUCAACCAUGCUGGUGGUGGUCGGCGGAACAAAGAAGAAAGCCGAACAGGAGAAAUUGAUUUCAAUAAAAAACCGACGACUUACUGGUCACGAAUCAAAGCAAGAUGGUGGCAAACAAAUCAGAGAAGAAGGAGAGAAAGGAUUGAGGUCGUAACCUCAACUCCGACGAGAUGAAAGAAGCAAUUCCGACAACUUAUUUCUGACAAAAUCCAAAGGAAAACUCGAUGAAACCCUUGAAAAUCGAUGGUGAUUUCCUUGGAAAUUUGGUGACGGACUCUAAGAGAGCAGAAGAGCAUCCUUUUAUAGAUGGAAAUCUAGGGAUUAAUCCAAGUUUGUGGACCCCAAAUUUUUUUUCCCAGCCGUAUUCAGAGAAGAGGAAGACUCCAUUGCAAGUCUUCCUUCUCCCUGCCUCACGUGCACAGCACAUGAGGCUUGAAUGUUUUUUUUUCAUCUCUUUGUUCAUGCUUCGAGAUUCGUGCAGGGGAGGAUCAGGUUUGGUAGGUUAUUACAGAAGUGAUCUU